CACGCCGGCAGCACAAUGAUGAUGUCACUGACUCUACUGCUGGCCACCCUGGGGCUCCUUGUUCAGGGUUCAUCAGGACAAAUCAUUGUGACUCAGUCUCCUGGAGCUCAGUCUGUGGUUGCAGGGCAGACUGUCUCCAUCACAUGUAGAACCAGUACAGGUGUUAGUAACUACCUCCACUGGUACUUUCAGAAACCUGGAGGAGCUCCUAAACUCCCGAUUUAUCUAGCUACAAAUCGUCAGUCUGGAGUUUCAGAUCGUUUCAGUGGAAGUGGAUCUGGUACUGACUUCACUCUGAGCAUCAGAGGAGUCCAGGCUGAAGAUUCAGGAGUUUAUUACUGUCAGCAGAGUAACAACUUGUUCACACAGCGAUACAGCGCCGUACAAAAACCUCCCUCAGCUUUAGAGGAACUGUCUCAACAGCUGCACUCAGACUAA